AGCGAACGCUGGCGGCAGGCUUAACACAUGCAAGUCGAGCGGGCACUUCGGUGUCAGCGGCAGACGGGUGAGUAACACGUGGGAACGUGCCCUUCGGUUCGGAAUAACUCAGGGAAACUUGAGCUAAUACCGGAUACGCCCGUUUGGGGGAAAGGUUUACUGCCGAAGGAUCGGCCCGCGUCUGAUUAGCUAGUUGGUGGGGUAAUGGCCUACCAAGGCGACGAUCGAGUAG
rnacentral:rRNA from 1 species